rnacentral:tRNA from 1 species
GAGAGAUGGCUCAGUGGUUAAGAGCACUGACUGCUCUUCCAGAGGUCCUGAGUUCAAUUCCCAGCAAGCACUUG